GUCCUCGUAGCUCAGCUGGAAUAGAGCUCACGCCUUCUAAGCGUGCGGUCAAGAGUUCGAAUCUCUUCGAGGACG
rnacentral:tRNA from 1 species